rnacentral:rRNA from 1 species
CAGCAGCCGCGGGAAUACGGAGGAUCCAAGCGUUAUCCGGAUUUAUUGGGUUUAAAGGGUGCGUAGGUGGCUUAUUAAGUCAGGGGUGAAAGACGGUAGCUUAACUAUCGCAGUGCCUUUGAUACUGAUGAGCUUGAAUGAACUAGAGGUAGGCGGAAUGUGACAAGUAGCGGUGAAAUGCAUAGAUAUGUCACAGAACACCAAUUGCGAAGGCAGCUUACUAUGGUUUUAUUGACACUGAGGCACGAAAGCGUGGGGAUCAAACAGGAUUAGAUACCCCUGUAGUCCCUGUCUCUUAUAC